rnacentral:rRNA from 1 species
UACAGAGGGUGCAAGCGUUAAUCGGAGUUACUGGGCGUAAAGGGCGCGUAGGCGGUUUAAUAAGAUUGAUGUGAAAUCCCUGGGCUUAACCUAGGAACUGCAUCGAUGACUGUUAAGCUAGAGUAUUGUAGAGGGUAGUGGAAUUUCCGGUGUAGCGGUGAAAUGCGUAGAGAUCGGAAGGAACACCAGUGGCGAAGGCGGCUGACCUGGACAAAUACUGACGCUGAGGCGCGAAAGCGUGGGGAUCAAACAGGAGU